GGCUGGUUAAACCCUAUCCUCACCUCUUCGUGGUGCCGGCUAGAAACCAGGAAGAUCCUGGGCAAACGAGGAAGG
rnacentral:ribozyme from 1 species